rnacentral:piRNA from 2 species
UGAAGAAGGCUGUUGGGCUAAGGGUAAAAGU